rnacentral:rRNA from 1 species
GACGAACGCUGGCGGCGUGCUUAACACAUGCAAGUCGAACGGUAAGGCCCUUCGGGGUACACGAGUGGCGAACGGGUGAGUAACACGUGGGUGAUCUGCCCUGCACUUCGGGAUAAGCCUGGGAAACUGGGUCUAAUACCGGAUAGGACUCCUGGCUUCAUGGUUGGGGGUGGAAAGCUUUUGCGGUGGGGGAUGGGCCCGCGGGCUAUCAGCUUGUUGGUGGGGUAAUGGCCUACCAAGGCGACGACGGGUAGCCGGCCUGAGUGGGUGACCUGGCACACUGGGACUGAGAUACGGCCCAGACUCCUACGGGAGGAAGAAGUGGGGAAUAUUGAACAAUGGGCGCAAGCCUGAUGCAGCGACGCCGCGUGAGGGAUGACGGCCUUCGGGUUGUAAACCUCUUUCAGCUAUGACGAAGCGCAAGUGACGGUAGUAGCAGAAGAAGGACCGGCCAACUACGUGCCAGCCGCCGCCGUAA